AAACUGGAGAGUUUGAUCCUGGCUCAGAACGAACGCUGGCGGCGUGCCUAACACAUGCAAGUCGUACGAGAAAUCCUGGGCAACCGGGAGAGUAAAGUGGCGCACGGGUGAGUAACGCGUGGGUAACCUACCCUUAAAAUCAGGAUAACUCUUCGAAAGGGGAGUUAAUACCGAAUAAUAUUCCGAUUCCCCCGGGAAUUGGAAUCAAAGGUGGCCUCUGCAUGCAAGCUAUCGUUUAAGGAUGGGCCCGCGUACCAUUAGCUAGUUGGCAGGGUA
rnacentral:ncRNA from 1 species